GAUGAACGCUAGCGGCAGGCUUAAUACAUGCAAGUCGUGGGGCAGCAGGACGGUAGCAAUACCGUUGCUGGCGACCGGCAAACGGGUGCGGAACACGUACACAACCUUCCUUUAAGUGGGGAAUAGCCCAGAGAAAUUUGGAUUAAUACCCCGUAACAUGGUGAAAAGGCAUCUUUUUAUCAUUAUAGCAGCAAUGCGCUUAAUGAUGGGUGUGCGGCUGAUUAGGUAGUUGGCGGGGUAACGGCCCACCAAGCCUUCGAUCAGUAACUGGUGUGAGAGCACGACCAGUCACACGGGCACUGAGACACGGGCCCGACUCCUACGGGAGGCAGCAGUAAGGAAUAUUGGGCAAUGGAGGCAGCUCUGACCCAGCCAUGCCGCGUGGAGGAUGAUGGUCCUCUGGAUUGUAAACUUCUUUUAUAUGGGACGAAAAAAGGGUUUUCUAACUCGACUGACGGUACCAUAUGAAUAAGCACCGGCUAACUCCGUGCCAGCCGCCGCUGUAACAC
rnacentral:rRNA from 1 species